rnacentral:rRNA from 1 species
CCUACGGGAGGCAGCAGUGAGGAAUAUUGCGCAAUGGAGGAAACUCUGACGCAGCCACGCCGCGUGCAGGAUUAAGGCCCUACGGGUUGUAAACUGCUUUUAUACGGGAAGAAAUGUAUCUACGUGUAGAUAUUUGACGGUACCGUACGAAUAAGGAUCGGCUAACUCCGUGCCAGCAGCCGCGGUAAUACGGAGGAUCCAAGCGUUAUCCGGAUUUAUUGGGUUUAAAGGGUCCGCAGGCGGAAUAUUAAGUCAGUGGUGAAAUCCUACAGCUUAACUGUAGAACUGCCAUUGAUACUGGUUUUCUCGAGUUCACCUGAAGUGGGCGGAAUGUGUCAUGUAGCGGUGAAAUGCUUAGAUAUGACACAGAACACUAAUUGCGAAGGCAGCUCACUAAAGUGUAACUGACGCUGAGGGACGAGAGCGUGGGUAGCGAACAGGAUUAGAUACCCUGGUAGUCCACGCCGUAAACGAUGAUCACUAGAUGUUGGCGAUAUACGGUCAGUAUCUGAGCGAAAGCAUUAAGUGAUCCACCUGGGGAGUACGGUCGCAAGAUUGAAACUCAAAGGAAUGACGG